rnacentral:rRNA from 1 species
GACGAACGCUGGCGGCGUGCUUAACACAUGCAAGUCGAACGGAAAGGCCCUGCUUUUGUGGGGUGCUCGAGUGGCGAACGGGUGAGUAACACGUGAGUAACCUGCCCUUGACUUUGGGAUAACUUCAGGAAACUGGGGCUAAUACCGGAUAGGAGCUCCUGCUGCAUGGUGGGGGUUGGAAAGUUUCGGCGGUUGGGGAUUGACUCGCGGCUUAUCAGCUUGUUGGUGGGGUAGUGGCUUACCAAGGCUUUGACGGGUAGCCGGCCUGAGAGGGUGACCGGCCACAUUGGGACUGAGAUACGGCCCAGACUCCUACGGGAGGCAGCAGUGGGGAAGAUUGCACAAUGGGCGGAAGCCUGAUGCAGCAACGCCGCGUGCGGGAUGACGGCCUUCGGUUUGUAAACCGCUUUCGCCUGUGACGAAGCGUGAGUGACGGUAAUGGGUAAAGAAGCACCGGCUAACUACGUG